AAUGAGUUGUCGUACGAUUGGACAUGCAGUAGAAAUUAAUGCUCGAUCGUGUGAAUUAAUGCUGUUACCGUAUGAAAUCAGGCCGAAGCUUCCAAAUUAUCAUGGAGUCAUGCCAUCAUUCAUAGCCGAGCAGGUUUGCCGUAAGGGGCUUGAUGUCCGUAGACGGUAGAAGCCAUACGCCUUAAUUGUUGCGUAAACUGAGUGCCUGCAGGAGCCAUACGCUUUGAUUGUUGAGUAAACUGAACGUCUGCAGGAGCCAUACGCUUUGAUUGUCGAGUAAACUGGAUGUCUGCAGGAGCCAUACGCUUUGAUUGUUGACGAAGGCAAGGCGUGGUUUUUCGGUCGCGCUGCGGGGGAUGUGACCACAGCGCGUGAGUCGGACGUCUUUGGGUCGGUAGGGCUGCUCGGGCGCUUCCAGAUCAGAGGGUCUGCUUGGCGGCUCUAGGUCGGAGGGUCUGCUCGGCGCCUUCAGGUCGGAGGAUCUGCUUGGGCGCCUCUAACUCGGAGGGUCUGGUCAGACGUUCACGCAUUGGUGACGGCUUAUAUUUUUUCCCCCAAC
rnacentral:lncRNA from 1 species